UACGAAGGGGGCUAGCGUUGCUCGGAAUCACUGGGCGUAAAGCGCACGUAGGCGGAUUUUUAAGUCAGGGGUGAAAUCCUGGAGCUCAACUCCAGAACUGCCUUUGAUACUGGGAAGCUCGAGUCCGGGAGAGGUGAGUGGAACUGCGAGUGUAGAGGUGAAAUUCGUAGAUAUUCGCAAGAACACCAGUGGCGAAGGCGGCUCACUGGCCCGGUACUGACGCUGAGGUGCGAAAGCGUGGGGAGCAAACAGG
rnacentral:rRNA from 1 species